rnacentral:rRNA from 1 species
CCUAAGGUAGCGAAAUUCCUUGUCGGGUAAGUUCCGACCUGCACGAAUGGCAUAAUGAUGGCCAGGCUGUCUCCACCCGAGACUCAGUGAAAUUGAAAUCGCCGUGAAGAUGCGGUGUACCCGCGGCUAGACGGAAAGACCCCGUGAACCUUUACUAUAGCUUGACACUGAACAUUGAAUUUUGAUGUGUAGGAUAGGUGGGAGACUUUGAAGUAGUCACGCCAGUGAUUAUGGAGUCGUCCUUGAAAUACCACCCUUUAACGUUUGAUGUUCUAACGAAGAUUACGAAACGUGGUCUCGGACAGUGUCUGGUGGGUAGUUUGACUGGGGCGGUCUCCUCCCAAAGAGUAACGGAGGAGCACGAAGGUUUGCUAAUGACGGUCGGACAUCGUCAGGUUAGUGCAAUGGUAUAAGCAAGCUUAACUGCGAGACAGACAAGUCGAGCAGGUACGAAAGUAGGUCAUAGUGAUCCGGUGGUUCUGAAUGGAAGGGCCAUCGCUCAACGGAUAAAAGGUACUCCGGGGAUAACAGGCUGAUACCGCCCAAGAGUUCAUAUCGACGGCGGUGUUUGGCACCUCGAUGUCGGCUCAUCACAUCCUGGGGCUGAAGUAGGUCCCAAGGGUAUGGCUGUUCGCCAUUUAAAGUGGUACGCGAGCUGGGUUUAGAACGUCGUGAGACAGUUCGGUCCCUAUCUGCCGUGGGCGUUGGAGAAUUGAUUGGGGCUGCUCCUAGUACGAGAGGACCGGAGUGGACGCACCACUGGUGUUCCGGUUGUGUCGCCAGACGCAUUGCCGGGUAGCUAAGUGCGGAAGAGAUAAGUGCUGAAAGCAUCUAAGCACGAAACUUGCCAAGAGAUGAGUUCUCCCUGUUUUUAAGACAGUAAGGGUUGUUUAAGACUAAGACGUAGAUAGGUCUGGUGUGUAAGCGGUGCGAGCCGUUGAGCUAACAGAUACUAAUUGCCCGAGAGGCUUAACUAU